GCUUUGUACCACUUUAGUUGCCGGUUUUGAUUCCCUCUCAUGUGUUUUGCCCCUUUCUUUUGUCAGAUCCCUGGGAACAUGUACUGAGAAUGGGUCUGGGUGUAGUAUUUGUAGAUGCGUGUGGAGAUCUGAUGGUUGAUGCUGGCCAUGUGAACGCCAUGAUCUUCUCAUUUGGAUCGUUUCUGGGCCGAAGGGCUGCUGGAUCGUCGACUUUGUGCAUGGCGGCAACCUGCUACUGUCGCCAAGAGAGUGUAUGUUUUGGAAGGGUUGAGCAGCGAUAGAGGUUUCUUUAGUCCUAGAUUUGUUACUACGAAGAAUGCUUUUGGCGCUGUCGUAUUACCUCUGGUAUUUAAUAAAAAUGACACAAAGUCAUCAUUUUAGUUGGCAUUGUC